rnacentral:rRNA from 1 species
AUACGGAGAGGGCUAGCGUUGUUCGGAAUUACUGGGCGUAAAGCGUACGCAGGCGGUUGGUUAAGCGAGAUGUGAAAUCCCCGGGCUCAACCUGGGAACUGCAUUUCGAACUGGCCAACUAGAGUAUGAGAGAGGGUGGUUGAAUUUCAGGUGUAGCGGUGAAAUGCGUAGAGAUCUGAAGGAAUACCGAUGGCGAAGGCAGCCACCUGGUUCAAUACUGACGCUCAUGUACGAAAGCGUGGGGAGCAAACAGCAUUAGAUACCCCAGUAGUCC